rnacentral:rRNA from 1 species
GACGAACGCUGGCGGCGUGCUUAACACAUGCAAGUCGAACGGAAAGGCCCUGCUUUUGUGGGGUGCUCGAGUGGCGAACGGGUGAGUAACACGUGAGUAACCUGCCCUUGACUUUGGGAUAACUUCAGGAAACUGGGGCUAAUACCGGAUAGGAGCUCCUGCUGCAUGGUGGGGGUUGGAAAGUUUCGGCGGUUGGGGAUGGAAUCGCGGCUUAUCAGCUUGUUGGUGGGGUAGUGGCUUACCAAGGCUUUGACGGGUAGCCGGCCUGGGAGGGUGACCGGCCACAUUGGGACUGAGGAGCGGCCCAGACUCCUACGGGAGGCAGCAGUGGGGAAUAUUGCACAAUGGGCGGAAGCCUGAUGCAGCAACGCCGCGUGCGGGAUGACGGCCUUCGGGUUGUAAACCGCUUUCGCCUGUGACGAAGCGUGAGUGACGGUAAUGGGUAAAGAAGCACCGGCUAACUACGUG